GCCACUGAGUGUAGAUCUCUUCUAGAUCCUUGUAGAGAUCCUUCCUUGGUGGGAGCCUUUCCCUGUGAACCUGAAUCUUCUGAUACGGCAGUGUGAACAUACCCUCCAACUGGAAAUUAGAAGAAAUCAAUGAGAUGGAGGGAAAGAACUAAGGAAGAAGAGACAGAACUACGAAUCUUGAGAGUUCAAGUUUGUGUUACUGUAGAUGAAAGAAUGUGGCCUUGCUAUCUGCCAUCAGCAGAGGGACUCAAGACAUAUUAACUCACUUAUUUAAAAACUGCUUGUAUUUGGCUCCUUGAGAAAGUGGCAGAUGCAAGCAUAAAUUAAGAAAACCCGAAUAUGUUGGGAUGUUUGCAAGUAUCCUGGAUACUGAAGAACUUAAUGAGCCAUUUCUUCAUAUUUCGAAGGGAACCUGAUGGAGAAAACCUGAUGGUCUCCAGAAACAGCUGAAAUAAUGGUGCAUGUUGAUAUUCUCCUGUUAAUAUUAUACUUUUCCUUUAUGUGCUUCUUUCUGAUGUCUGUAAUGUCACUUUUUUAUAAGUUACAAAAUGAGCAACAAUACAUACAAUAUAAAUUAUCCACAAAUUUUUCAACAAGAGAGAUUAGGCUGUGUUAGAGUUCACUUCCCAGAAUUUUAUUCUGUUCUUCUUUAUAGGUUAUCAGUAUUUUUCUGUUUGCUUAUCUGCUGGUUACCUGUGUGAUAUUACUGGUGGUUUAAAUCCUGCUUCUGAUGUGCAGUCAUGUAUCUGAUACUGCUUCAAUUGAUUCAGCAGAAUUUGAAAACUUGUGGAGUUGGGUAAAAUGAGCUCUAUUCUCCUUCUAAAGUUAACGCCUUUCAAUUCAAGAUGAGUAUGAUUGAGAAAGCUGCUGUUUGCAUCAUCCUGAACAGAUACUGAAUCAUAUGGCCCAGCAAAAGACAUCAUCCACAGUUCUGGUACUAUACAUAAAAAAAUACUGUGUGAAUAUUUUGGAAAAAAAUUUCCUGAAAGCUAAAAGAGUAAAACUUACUGGUGCUUAACUUGUUCUGUAGGAACUUUAAGCUAGGUUACCAGUAGCAAAAAUGUCAAUAAAAAUCUUGGAGUGAGUAGAGGGCAUAAAGAAGAAAAUGAGGCUCUAUCAACAAAGUCAAAAUGUUCAUCUUUUUGAGUCCACUGGCAGAAAACUGUAUUAUGUAAAGAUAUCACUAUUAAUGAAGGGAUCAAAGCAGAAGACUGAUUGAAAUAGCAGAAUAACUCAUUUUUUUCCAACUCCCAUAAAGCCUCCAGAAGGUUAAUGAUGAAGUGCAGACUUUGUGUAUGGAAGACUCAAGUCUAGACGUGUAUGUUACUAUGGAGAAAUAAUUGACUUUUUUUCUGUGAACAAUCAAGACUAUUUUCUAAGGUGUUUCAAAACUUAUCAUUGAAUAGAAUGAAGUUCUCAUCCUUCUUAUGUUAAUACCUUUUGUGGUAUUUCCUGAACAGGAAGAGUAAGUGUUUCAACUUCCAUCUGGAUGCAGUUCUGAAAUACUCCAAAGAUACUUACCAGAACUUAAUGUAGCUAGAUUUAGUGGAAAAGAAGUUUCAUAAUCAUGCAAACAUUCUCUGUCAUAGUAAAAGAUUCACAGUCUAAUAUACUUCAUAUUAAAAUUUCCAUCUGAUUUACUGAGGCUUACUUUAUGCAGAUUUAAAAACACUGACCAAUAGAUGAGUAAUUGUGGAUACCUACAUUGGUGGACAUAUGUAAAUCCUCUGCACUGAAACUUGUAUUAGAACAUAUUUCUGGGACUGAUAUUAAUGUAAAAAUGUAUGCUGGUAUCUUUCCAGUGCCUGUGUAGAAAAAUAGUAUGAAGAAAAUAAAAAAGAAUUUGUUUUAGAUAUUUCUAAAAUAAACUUGCUAUGAGUCUUCCCUUCGUCUUUUUGGAACUCCUAGUAACCUCUCUAAGAUGAAGCUAAAACCAGUAAUCUCCAAAGAUUUUUUUCUUUUCAGGGCUUGUGAUGACAUGCAAUAUCCUGUACACUUAAUGCAAAAUUUUCACCUGCCAAAACUGUAAAAAAAAAAAAAAACCUAAAAUUUGCUUUUAAAAAACACUGUGCGUCCUCACAGCAUUUCUUUGCUGUGGUCUAAUUGUAAUUUCAGUACAGGAUGCUGCUUCUUGUUAAUCACUGAAUGCAAACAGAUGAUGUGGGACACCCCUCUUUCUCUCACUCACAUGUUAGAAUUAGAGAUCUUCUUAAAGGGAAGGCACAGCUACUUGCAGGUUCGGUAAGUCCAGCAUACAAUAAUGGAAGUAUUAGACUGUCUCAUAUUGCUAUCAAAUUAUUUUCUUAGCUUGCUUGUCCAACUGGCUAAGAUUCUUUGUCUUAGUUCUGUUGAAAUCAAAUUCAUUUUGACCCUGAAAACACUGAUGAAUUCCUGGCCUUUUUGUUAUUACAAAUGGUUGCUUUAUAGAGGAAAAACAGUGGCAAGAAGAGACAUCACAGAAAUGUUAUCUUAACUGGUAGACCAUGGGAAAUUCAGAUUUGGGUGAAACUUUAACCUUUUGCUGUCACCGCAAGAUGGGAGCAUUUUAAUUCUACCAGUUUCUGUUACUUUCAAAUUUCUUUAAAUAGCCUCUGUGAUCUGUGGAAAUGCUGCCUGGACAAUGUGUGCUGUGUUUCCUAUUAUUUCAUGAGGCUUGUUAUUAACAUUGAGUGUACUAAAGCAGGCUGUAACAACUGUGGAAACAUGCUUUUGUAUACUGACGUUAAUUUGUGAAUUACUCUUUUUAACUAACCUCAUUAAAA